GAGUUAAGAGUGAUAUUUGUCAUCCCAUUGAUUGCCAGGAUUCAUUUGGAUAUUCUGGCUGCCUAGAUUGUUGUUUUCAUCUUUCCUCAUAUACUCCCCACCCACAGUUGCAUAUCUGAAAGCAGUGACACUUCUAGAUAGAGGAGGAAAAAGGAUCGUUUAAAUUUCUUAACAGUGAUGCUGGGGUACUAAUAGGCUCUAAAAUUCCUCCUGGCCAGGAUGGCUGCUUU
rnacentral:sRNA from 1 species